AAGAGGGUGCCACUUGAUCUUUUCUAGCCUGAUCUUUCUUUUCGUUUUUUCCUUCGCUCAGAGAGAUACAUAGUGGGAAUAGUGAGAUCGAGCCAUCGAGGAUGUGGUGGGAUGCUGGAUGACUGAUCGGACCGCACCAAGUUGUUUGGACUUUUUGGGAUCUCAGGAUAUUCGUAUACAUUUACACAUUAUGCACAAUCACUUAUGGACGUUGUUAUGAGUACUUAUACGACAAUAUAAACACUUAAUCAAAAUGAAAGUACAACCUAACGGGUACGGGAGGGACGUACGUUAAGGAACAUGGAAGGGAGGAGAAAUGGAAAAAUGUCGUGCUACUGUCCAGGUACACGUUGUUGCAGUCGAUCGUCCAAAACAAACCGUCCACCAAACACGCGAUUAUCUACUGGCAGAUAGAUAAAACUAAGAAACAGAUAAUUGAAGCGACAGCAGGCUACGGUUUCAUAACAAACGAGUGAUAAGAAAAAAAAAGCAAGUAGGGUUGAAUUGAUACAAGAUAUCAGGAAAAGAGAAAUGCCGCUAUCUAUCGCUGUAAUGCAUUCAAAUAGCCAGGCGGGUUACUGCACGUCACGUCACAAGAAGACGGAGAACACACGCCCUCAGCCGAAGAUCGAGAUCGAUAAUUUCAUCGAGAAGAUACGAAUUUCCGAAGUCACGGAUGCGCGAAAGCAACUCUUCCGUUGAUCCUCAACGGUCGGAAACGCUUUUUCCCACAUCCGCGGCAUCGAAAGUCGAUCCAAAUUGAAAUUAUCCUAAUCUCCAGUCUCGAGCGAAAGAGAUUCGCGAUUUGAGAUUUGUUGAAGGAAGGAAAACAGAGAGAAUUCAUCCUCCUGGAUCACGCGUAUCGCGAGUGUAUCUGGACACAAACACGUACGACUGAUUCAAUAUGCGACUGGACAAUGGUGAAUGAAAUAAAUAGGCGGUACACAUAACUUUGUAAAAAUAAUAAAUUAUUUGUAUUUUGCAAUCCAGAA